UUCCUCUUACUCCUUUCUGAGUUUCACUACUUAAAAAAUUAUUGUAUUUGGCUGAGAUUUCUCCGUUUGGAUGAGAGAGGAGAAACAGCGCACACUCAUAUGCCUGCCUUUUAUCACAGAGAUCUCCUCUCCCACUCUCUCUAUAUAGCUGUGCCUUGAAGGAGGGAAAAUACUGAGGUGCCCCUCUCGUUUGGGAUGUUCAUGUUAAAUCAGCUCACCUCUAUGUUGAAGUAGCUCGUCUCUAUCCACGCCCGGAGCCCUUCCCUGACCUAUCGCGCAGCACUCUUGCCCUCAGACUUCUCUUUCUAGCAUUUUCCAGUGGGCCGUCCUCCCAGGCCUUCCCUGUCUAUUUCAGAUUACUCUCAUGGCUUUGGUGGCCGCUACGGGGUAGAGAAGGAUAAACGGGACAAAGCAGCUCUGGGAUAUGACUACAAGGGAGAGACGGAGAAGCACGAGUCUCAGCGAGAUUAUGCCAAGGGCUUUGGUGGUCAAUAUGGAAUCCAGAAAGACAGAGUGGAUAAGAGUGCUGUUGGCUUCAAUGAAAUGGAGGCCCCAACCACGGCAUAUAAGAAGACAACACCCAUAGAAGCUGGUUAGUCUUCAUUUCUCUGUGCCCUUCGACCUCCUUUCUUCUCUGGCUUCCUCUCCUCCCAGACUAUCCCUUCUGUGUCCUUCGCUACUGAGAUUAGCCAAGGAAACUGAGCUCCCUACUCUCACAGUUCCAGAUUCUGUCUCCUAAAAGAGUCAGACCAACCCGGAUGGCAAGAGGAGUGGCUUUAGGGAAGAAACGAGGGCCAGAGACACAUAGGGAAGAGAGAGGAACUGCCUG
rnacentral:sRNA from 1 species